CAAAAAACUGCCCAAUCCCCAUAGUAGGGGUAAGUACAUUAAGCCACCUGGGGGAUGGCUCGGCUCGGGGCGCCGACGAAGGGCGUGGC
rnacentral:rRNA from 1 species